CAGGACUUGACACAGACUCUUUGCCUUCUACGGAGUUUUGUCGGCUCAUUGGAUACAUCCGCAGAGAACCUACCGCCUCUCCAGGGCAGAUGAACAGGAGGGCUACCCCCAAGGUGACCAUGGAAACCACAUGUUGAAGAUGGUAUCAUCCUGGUCCCUGAAUGACCACACAGAGCAGAGCAUCCCUCUCAGACAACACAAGCCCCCUCCUCUGACCUGGAACAACUCAACAAUUCAGGACUCUUAGGUAGCAAGGAUCAGAUAUCUGUUGUGUUGAGUCUUGGAUGUAUUUGGAUGUAUUUGUUACACCGGCUGGACUACCUUCAGUAACCCAACACCAUUUGCAGAUUUUCAAGAUGAUGACUGAGAAACUGUUCCACAGCCUUGGAGUCUCCUCAUCCACUUCCCACCCUGAAGAAAGUUAAAGCGGGCUGUGGAAUUCAGCCUAACUUCACCUGCAUGUCUAGGAGACAAGAAGACGGUUGACCGACUGCUUCAGAGGCAGAAACAGCAAUGUGUGGCCAUAUGGGGUGUCCCGGAGGCUGUUUACAUGGCUGUGUGUGCAGAAGGACAUCAGCAGAAGAAGUGUUCUGGAUGCCAGGAUCUGAGAAGCGGUCCCAGGAAACCACUUGGAGCAGACAUGCCUUCAAAUGACCUCCACCAUUUGCAAGAGUCCCAGCAGGAAACUCUGGGCUGGGCAAGGAGGAUGCCACAUCACACCCUGCAGGUGCCAGGGACAUCAACCAAGAUCACUCUCAGGAAUGCUUAUGGAAUCUUGCCUGGAUGCAUUGCAAAUAUCACCCCCAGGAGAAAACUGCAGUCUUUCGAGAACACCAAACUUGCCCGAGUCUGCAGAAGACUUGCAGAUAAAUCAAACUAAAAUCUAAAAUCGAAAGCCACAACCAACCAUUUUCCUUUCUUCACUCUGUAUGACAUAGAAAUUUACCUUUUUGGGCAUUUCACUUGUAGUUAUCUAUUCAUCUCACUCUGUCUCUUAUCAAAAUAUUUCAUUGGAGUUUCCC